rnacentral:lncRNA from 1 species
AAGUUCUCUACUUUUUUUAGUAAGAUUUAAUCUAUUUCAUUCAACCAUGUUUCCGAAUACACCCAUUUCCCUUCUGCCUAGUUUUUCAUCAUAGUUUCAAGGACUCCCUUUCAUUAUUCCGCUUGGUAUUCGCUUCACGAUUUCAGUUGAUGGCGAAGUUUUUGUUCAUGCUCUUAAGGCAGCAAUUUGGGCCUUUUAGUUUAUCUCAAGUCGAUUUGGUUUUCGAGCUUUCUGCCGUCGAUUUGAGGCUUCGGUUUAUAAUUUUGGUUUUCCAGUCCAAGUAUUGUUGCGAGUUUAGCCCGAUUGAUUUGCAAUUUUCAGCUUCGUUCAUCAAUAAAAGGUCGAUUUCUCAAUUUUCAUUCUCGUUUCGUUUUGUUAUGAUAGCUUGGUGCGCGUGGUGGUUGAUUUGUUAUUCUAUGUUGUUUGAGUAGCAUGUCUUUGUUUAACUUUAAAUUGUUUUAACUAGUUUUAUUUCAAUUACGAUGCAUGCAGUCUUGGGUUCUUGAAUAAAUACUUUUAAUCGAGUAGAUGAAAAAUUGGAGUUAUUUCUUUCUUGGCGAGGAAUAAGAAUAGGCCAUGAGUGGUGCUAAGUCGGAAGUAUUUAUAACUCUUGGUCUCACAAUAAUCUCAAAUUAGAUUAGGAAAUAAAUUACAAAACAUCAUAGCUUGCUUUAGGCACAUUUAAUUAAAAUCAUCAUAGUUACGGGUACGGUUCCCGUGAUGUAGCUGUGAUACCUAAUUCCCAAAUUCGAGAGUGCAUUUCAUGUAACCCGAUUAUAACAACUUCGAAUAAUAAAGCCCCUUUGAAAUAAUUUGAGGCAUUCCAUGCCAAAUAAAAUCCUUAAGUCCAUGACCCACAUAAAACUAGCUAGCUUUUAUAUAAAAUUUGAGGUGUGCCAUUUUCAUUAAAUAACCCAUGGCCUUCACGUAAUUAAUUUUAAUACUUAGAAUUCGAGACGUACCAUUUAGUUGAAUUUUCAUGGCCCUCACAAAUUUAAAAAAUACAUAGUUGCUUUAGGUGCGUAAUUUAAAUUACUUUUCUAAACUCCGGUGUGUAUUUAUGUGACCCAAAUUCAAAUCUCAAAAACGUUAAAUAAUAUUUGUCGUGGACCGCGGGUGCAUUUAUGUGACAUGGUUAAAGAUGUGUUUUAGAUGAUGUUGAAUCUUUCUAAAAAUUAUUUGAAUAAAAGCGGUUAUAAAGUUAAAAUUAUACCAUAGACAAAAACCUGUAUUAAAAAUUAGAUAAUUAGGCCAAAAAUAACAGUUGAGAGAUCGUGCUAGAACCACAGAACCCCGGAAUGCCUAACACCUUCUCCCGGGUUAACAAAAUUCCUUACCCGAAUUUCUUUGUUCGUGGAAUAUAAAACAGAGUCAAUCUUUUCUCGAUUCGGGAUUUAAACCGGUGACUUUGGACACCAUAAAUUAUCCCAAGUGGAGACUCUAAAUUUUAAAUAAAAUAAUUCCAUUUUGAUUGACACUUUAAGUUGGAAAAAAACUCCAUUAUACACUCUUUUGGGGUGUAGGAAAAAGGAGGUGCGACAAGGUACACAACCCCUGCAUCUAACCACUUGAUGAUCUCCUUCUUGCCGACCUCUUGCAUGGCUUCAUUGAGUCUCCUUUGAUGUUCAAUAGAUCUUUUGGCCCCUUCUUCCAAAUUAAUUUUGUGCAUGCAAAAUGCAGGGUUUAUUCCCCGAAUAUCCGCCAAUGUCUAUCCAAUAGCUCUCUUCCUCAUUUGUAGCACCUCCAAUAUGGACUCUGCCUGCAUGUUAGUCAAAUAAGAGGAAAGAGUAACUGGUAAAGUAGAAGAAGGUCCAAGAAAUUCAUACAAAAGAUGUGGAGGCAAUAGCUUCAACUCCGAAAUGGGAGGUUCCUCAAUUGAGGGCUUUGUUGGAGGAAUGAUUCUAUUCUCAAGAUCAAGGGACAAUUUGCGGGGCUUAUAAGAGUACGACCCUAUUCCUCGCAAUUAUUCACACAUUCCACAUAACCCUCCAUUUCUUCAUCUUCAUAAUUGAGCAAUACGACCUCCAAAGUAUUAUCAACAUUCAACAUGGAACUUGCGUCGCAUCCCCUUUUAUGUCUGGAAAGAUCAAAAUAAAAUGACCACAAUUUUAGGUAUUCACUUAAUCUUGUUAGGUCUAGGUGCUUUUCUUCUAGUAUUCAAGGCUCUUUAUUUUGGGGGCGUAUAUGNNNNNNNNNNNNNNNNNNNNNNNNNNNNNNNNNNNNNNNNNNNNNNNNNNNNNNNNNNNNNNNNNNNNNNNNNNNNNNNNNNNNNNNNNNNNNNNNNNNNNNNNNNNNNNNNNNNNNNNNNNNNNNNNNNNNNNNNNNNNNNNNNNNNNNNNNNNNNNNNNNNNNNNNNNNNNNNNNNNNNNNNNNNNNNNNNNNNNNNNNNNNNNNNNNNNNNNNNNNNNNNNNNNNNNNNNNNNNNNNNNNNNNNNNNNNNNNNNNNNNNNNNNNNNNNNNNNNNNNNNNNNNNNNNNNNNNNNNNNNNNNNNNNNNNNNNNNNNNNNNNNNNNNNNNNNNNNNNNNNNNNNNNNNNNNNNNNNNNNNNNNNNNNNNNGAGCUAAGUUGCUUAAUCUUGUUAGGUCUAGGUGCACAUCGGUCACUAGAUCCACAAAUGAACAAACUUCAUUGCUAUUCAGUUGCCUCAUAGAUUUGCACACAUGGAAAACUAUCUUUUCAUCACAUACCCAAAAUAUGAGCUCACUGGCUUCCACAUCAACAAGAGCCUUCCUCGUAGUAAGGAAAGGUCUACACAAAAUAAUCGGCACCUCAUAGUCCACUUCACAAUCAAGAAUCACAAAGUCCGCGAGGAAGAUGACUUUAUCAACACAAACCAAUAACAAGAGGAGGUUAUGACCAUCCACCACAGCAAGUCUGCAAACUUCAUCAUGCUCUGUACGGUCUCAAGCAGUUCGGGUUCUAGUCUUAAGCAAGACAUAAGUAGGGCUUUCAAGCAGGUAGUGAGUCAUCAUCAAUAAUACCCAUUGGUAUCUUCAUGGUACGAUCCUCCACUUGCAACCACAUAGAUGUGGGUCUUGGUUUCCCAAUCCCCAAAGUUUUGAAAACCGAGUAGGGAAUCAAGUUGAUACUUGCCCCAAGAUCACAUAAAGCUUUAUCAAAGUCGGCACUACCAAUGGUACAAGGAAUAUGAAAGCGCUGAGAUCUUCUAAUAUAGGAGCCAUUGAGUGACAAUUGCACUCACUUUAUGCGUCAUCUUUUCAUAAUUCAUCAACGUAUUCUUUAUUACCAAGUCCUUCAUGAACUUUGCAUAACCCGGCAUUUGCUCAAGAGCCUCAACCAAUGGCACGUUGAUAAAUAGACUUUCAUCAUGUCAACAAUCUUUUUGAAUUGGUUCUCGCAAUUUUUCUUGGCAACCUAUGAGGGUAUGAAGGAGGAGGCCUGAUGUAAUGACCCGACCCGUCUUCUCAUGUAUCUCUGCCCUGUUUUUCCUAUUUUAUGCUUAUAUGUAUUUCAUUAUAUGUGUUUGGUGAAUUUGAAGUAAUUCGGAUAGAGUUCGGCUAGAAAUAAGAUAAUUAUUCUACUUAAGAGAAGGUUAGUUUCGAAAAGUCAACCGGAUAUUGACUUAUGUGUUAGAGAGCUCGAAAUGCAAAUUUUAUGAUUCGCAUAGCUUCGAAAGGUGAUUUGGAACUUAGAAGUGUAUCCGGAAUAUUUUUAUGAUGACCGGUGUAGGAUUAAGCUUGAAUCGUCAAAGUUAGUAUUUUCGCGAAUUCCAUUUGAUAGGUAAGAUUUUGAUCUGAGCAUCAGAAUGAAAUUCCGAGAGUUGCUGCAGCUUCGUUAUGUCAUUUUGGACUUGUCUACAAAAUUGGAGGUCAUUCGAAUGUGGUUUGGUUAGGUUUGAUCAAAAAUGGAAUUUGGAAUUUCUUGAGAUUCAUAGGCUUGAAUUCGAUGUGAUUUGAGGAUUUUGGUAUUAGUCGAGGUGUUUUGAUGAUUGAAACGAGGUUGAAUAAUGUUUUAGGAUGCGUUGGUGCUUUUGGUUGAAGUCCCGGGGGCCUCAGGUCUUUCGGGCGAGUUUUGAGCGAGUACCAACACCCCAGAACUUAGAAAAAUGGAGGGGGCAGCAGUGGAGGUGCGGACCGCGCUCCUUCUCACACUGGGUGCGCGGCCGCGGUGACUGAUGACUUGCAGGUCAUUUGUCCUACUUCAGAAGCUCAUAUCUUUUGAUCUACAAGGAAUUUUGGACUGAUUCUAAAAUGAUCGUUUUAGAUCUUUGAAUCUAGUUUUGAGACACAUAUUAUAAAAGGCAUUUGUACAUCUGUAGCAGAAGUUAUAGCCAAAAUAGUGAAGCCUAUCACUGCAGUCAAAUUCGUGCGCGGCCGUGGCCAUUUUUGUGCGGACUGCACUUUGUGGGCGUAGACCGCGGUUAUUUUUGUGCGGUUAACGCUGUCGGAAUAUGGGGAUACUCUAUAAAUAUGAAGUUUUUAUUAGUUAUUUUGACCAUUAGAGCUCGGAUUUUGGCGAUAUUUCGAGGUUUUUCAAGAAUUUCAUUGGGGUAAGUGAUUCUAACUCAGACUUGGUUAGAGUACAUGAAUAUACCACCGAAUUCAUCAUUUAAUUAGUGAUUUGGGAUAGAAUUUGGGAAGAACUAAGGCUUGAGUUUUGAGAUUUUAAAUUGAGGAUUUGAGGGGUCAUUUGAACUCCGAUUUUGGGAAUUUUAUUUGUACGAACUCGUGGUGAGACAAGGAAUCUGGUGAUGUGACUUUUGUAAUUUUUCGAGAAGUGGACCCGGGGCUCAAGUUUUUCCAACUUCGUAAUUUUUAGCAUUUUUCGAGUAAUUUCAAUUGGGCUAUGUUUCUUUAGCAUAAUGUAACAUAUUGGUUGUGAUUUGACUAGAUUCGACGCGCAAAGAGGUCGAUUCAAGAGGAAAAGGGCAUUGCAGACUAGCCUACGGCUGGUUAGAGGUGAGUAGUCUGUAUAGAUGAUGGCGUGAGGAUUUGAAACCCCGGUUUAUCAUAUAGUGGCGCUAUAUUAGGGCGUGAAUCGCACCCCAUGGCAGGUGUAGGGUUGUUUAUGACUAGGGAUUAUGACUUGGUCCAUCACGAACAAUAAUGUACUAUAUUGGCGACUGAUACGCACCCUAUAUUGAUUAUAUCUGGGAUUUUUGGCCUUGUGCCGAUCUGUAGCAUCCUCAGAGGAUGAAUAUCAUUGUGAUAGUAUGGCUUGUAUAAUCAUUGAUCGCAGUCCUGUGUUUAAUCACUAUUAUGAAUGCUAAGUCAUUUUUUCCUGAAAUUAAUUAACUAAUUUAUAUUUUUCUUAAUAAUUGGAAACUGGAAAAUUAAUUGAAUCUGUUAUUUGACUCAUAUGCAUACUGUGGACUGAGUAUGGAUCGGGUUGCACGCUGCAGUGGUGAUAUGAUGAUAUUGCGCUUGGGCUGUAGGAGCCUCUCCGGAGUCUGUACACACCCCAGUGAGCGCCAUCAACGUUAAAUGGAUCGGGCUGUACACCGCAGCGAGUCAUGUGCAUUGUAUUGCAUUCUUCAAUUAUACUUGACUGAUAUACUUGUUAUUAUUUUGCAGUUGGUUCAUAGUUAAUGUGUCGGACUAUUUGUUUUAGCUUUACUUUGUGGCAGUUCGUGGAUUCUUAUCGUCAGACAUUUUAUAUACUUAUUACUCACUGAGUUGGUAGUACUCACCCCUAUCCCUGCACCUUGUGUGCAGAUUCAGGUGCACCGGAGGUUUAGCUGAGCAGUCGUUGUCUCCACAGUUUAUCAGAGUUGUUGAGGUAGCUGCUUGAUGUUCGCAGGACCUGACUACUCCUCAUAUUUUAGCUUUAUUUAUAUGUACUUUUCCAGACGUUUAUUUCGUUCAGAUAAUUGUCAUCCAGUUUAUUUUAGAGGCUUUAGUCUUGUGACUCCAGAUUCUAUUGGGAGUGUCUUUAUUGGAUAUUUCAUUUUGUUCUGGAUUAAUUUUAUUAUAAAGCUCGGAGUAUUAUUUUAAAACUGUUAAUUUUCCUUAAAUUGUCGAUAAUGAGUUAUUAGGAUGGGUUUUUGAGAGGUAAUUGGUCAGGCUUGCCUAGCUGUAUAGUUGGGCGCCAUCACGACCGGGUUUGAGUCGUGACAAGUUGGUAUCAUAGCCUAGGUUACUAGACCUCACGUGUCAUGAGCCGGUUAGUAGAGUUUCGCGGGUCGGUACGUAGAUGUCUGUAUCUAUCCUCGGGAGGCUACAAAACCUUUAGGAAAUACUUCGCUUUCUUAAAAUCUUAUCGUGCGUGCUUGAUUCAGCUUGAAAGAGUAACUCUUGAAAUUCCUUCCACGUGUUCGCAUGCGCGCAUGAGCGCUCGGUAGCAGACGUGCCCUGAUGGCUUGUGAUUCCCCGAUCGAGGGUCGAGAUGUAAUCUUUGUGAGGUUGAUGUUGGGCCAUUCUAUAGGAAUUGAGACCGGAUAUUGCCUAGGGCUUGAGCACUGAGGUGCUGAUCGUGUGAGCAAGUGUAUUAAACUUAGAUGUUCGGUAUUGUCGUUAUUAGCCGGAAUGGCAGUUGGUAUCCGUGUGAGCCAGUUUGAAGACUUAAGGCCGAAUCUCCGACUAAGGCUUGAGCUCCGAGGUGCUGAUUGUACGAGCUAGUGUUAUGAACUAAUAUGUUCAGUAUUAUCCCUAAAAGUGGGAAUGGGGGCUGGAUAGCUACAUGAUGAGUAUGUUGGUGCUGUGUGAUGUGUCUAUAUGACUUGGAAGUGUCGAAGAAGGUCUGCUAGGUGAUAGAUGAACCAUUAAGUGUUUGAUUUUAAUUGCGAUUGGAUUUGUUGUCCUGAGUUGUGGGUGCAUGGAGAUCUUCUCAGGUCUCCUAGUUGGAAGCGAAGUAAAUAACAUGUUACGGGUUAAGUUCAGACCCAAGAAGAUUAAAUGACCGGGUAAUAUAUAUGAUGGUGGAAGACAGGCUGAUAUACUGAAUUGAGGCGAAGCAGGUGGGAUAUCUCCUGCGGAGUGUCCAUAAGUGGUAUGAUCCUUAUAUGUAUGUUAGAAGAUCUCAUGUGUAAUUGAAAGGUAUUUUCUAUUUGUUAUGAUUCGAAUAGGUGCAACACAUGCCCAUGUAUCAAGUUUGAUAAUAGAAUACAUGUAGUAUAAAGAUUAAUGUUGUUAAUAUACGUUGUGAUGCUUUGUCAAGUUGUGGACGUGUUGCUAGGAUAAUCUUGGUAAUUCUCUGGCAGGUGGAAGGCUCAAUUACAAAGGAAACUCUGCCAAAAUUCUUGAAAAGCUUGGGACUUAGUAAAAAUUUUAUCGCCUAUAGAGUGGGCUUAACUGUUGUGUGAAUGAAUGCAAGAAUUGCAGAAGAGUUAAAAUUUCUGAUGAUUCGUGUUUCCACAAGCUUAUGAAAGAGUGAGUUUAAUCUCACCAUGAUAUUACGAUGGCAAUAGAGUAUAUGUGUUGUGAUAUAUAUGGAUUUGAGCUAAGUUGGGGAGGUUGCUGUUGUUUAGCUGAUUGUACGGUUAUGUACUAUGUUAGUUUCGAUUUGAUGCAUGCGGGUGAAUCAGUUUUGGUUGCAGAAAUUAAGCCGAGGGUGGCACGAGUGAAGAAAAAUUUCGACGAAGGUUAUAUGGUGCUUAGUAGAUUUGAGAAAAAUAAUAGGAUGUCUUGAGUUUUUGACAAAGAAUGCUUAGUGUAAAGAGAAGGAAGUGGUUUGGUUGUAUCGGAAUGAGAUCAUGUCCUGNNNNNNNNNNNNNNNNNNNNNNNNNNNNNNNNNNNNNNNNNNNNNNNNNNNNNNNNNNNNNNNNNNNNNNNNNNNNNNNNNNNNNNNNNNNNNNNNNNNNNNNNNNNNNNNNNNNNNNNNNNNNNNNNNNNNNNNNNNNNNNNNNNNNNNNNNNNNNNNNNNNNNNNNNNNNNNNNNNNNNNNNNNNNNNNNNNNNNNNNNNNNNNNNNNNNNUUAAGGUUGAGUAGGUGACCAAGUCAGUGUUUUCAUUUGUUCUCUCUGUCUUUUUCACAUUUAGGCUUAGCCAUUGUUGUUCAUCUCUCUGAAUGCCUCAGCGUUAUUCAGGGUAUACUAAUUAAUAAAUUCUCUUUAAUAUUAAUUACGGGAUUCUAUGUAGCAGUAUCUGGGAAGCAAAGGUAGUGGACUUAAAUUCGCAGGAAGUCCUUCAAGGUAGGGUAUUUUAGAAGGUGGUAGUUUUAGGAACGUUUGAGAGAGUAUUUAGUGGACUAUUGGUCUUAGACAGUGUGGUCCUACGUUCGAGUCUCGUGUGGUAAGCCUGGGUUGUGGCAUUGUGGUGCUACAACAAGAGAGUAUAUCAAGUUGAAAAUGAAUCAGAAGGAAAUCUAGAAAUGAAGUAUCUUGUUAGUGGACCGAAUCAGUGUGGUAAAAAUAUGAUCAAUUCUUUGUAUGUGUUCGAGGUAAUGAGUUUAUACAAGCGUUGGGCAAUGAGGCUCGUGAGUACUCACAGUCUUCUUGGCUUGGUUCAGGUAGAAGGAUUUAGUCCUGGCAGUUUAGCUUGUGAAAAUGGAAUUGGGAGAGAAUUUUGUUGGGUUUCAUCAUGGUUUGGAGAAGUAUAUUUCUAUGGACAUGCGGAGCAUGGAGUGCAUAGUGAUUUUUCUUCUAAAUAGGGUCAGGUAUAGCGAUUUGUGUGUUAUAUGGGGGGGGGGGGGGAUUGGGUAAUAUGUAUUCAUACGGCAGAAUUUGGGACCAGAUAUAGUGAGUUGUGUGUCAUAUGGAGUUGGAAACUCGAAGUUCUCCGAUACAGUCUAUGUCGCGAUUGUGGAUCGUGAGUAUUCGGCACUGUUUAGUGGCAAUUAGGAUUUGGUGGCUAGAGUGGAUCUUUAUUUGUUGACACGAUAGAUUUUGGAUAUGAUAUUGAGUGUAGGCUGGUUGCCUUAGUGUUGGGUUAAUCUAGACUAUUGUGUUACGGGCUAUGCCGGAAGAUACCACAGGUUGCGUGGCGAGGUGCAUCGAGUGAUGUUAUAGCAAGAGUGGGUUGCAUUCCAAAGGCCAGUGGACGGCUGAGAAGGAUUGCUUGCCUUGUUUGGGCCUUCGUGGCAAAUGUCAGUGCAGAGGUUUUUGCCAUUGAUUCAGUUCCAAUAUUGAGGGACCUUUUCGGAUGCGUUCCUCGUGGCGGGGCAUGUCGCCAUGUGAGAUUGUGGACUUCAGUUUUUAUUUGGUGUCGGGCACCGUAUCAUACGGCUUUGGCAUGAGUUAUAGUAGUGGAACAUGCAACUUCAGGCUUCUUGGUAAUGAGCUUGUUUGUAAGGUGGUUGGAUAUGUGUUUAACUGGGGUUGGCUUGGUUAAUCCCGAAUUAUAUUGAUAAAGGAUGGGUUGAUUCGAACAUUAUUGGAUCUGCUACUGAUCUGGGAAGAUCUAUGAGAUGUUUUUUUGUGCUGCGAGGCGCUAUAAUUUUUGGGCAGUGAUACAUAAAUUGCGGUGCUAUCGAGAUUCAUAGUGGAAGUUGAGUUUUGUAGCUUACACCGCCAUAAGUAGAUAUGAUUAUGCAUUCAGUGUGCUUACAAUUGAUACUCAAUAUUUUGUUAUAAUGAGAAAAUUCGGCUUGAUGUGCAACUCCCUAUGUGAGAUAUUCGAGUGGAUCGGGUGGCACGCUUCCAUGGGGUAUGUUAUCUGGAUCGGGUUGUGUGCCGCAACAGUGUGAUGUUGAGGAUGGUUUCCGUAUGUUACUUUGUAUGCCUUGCUUCCUGGUUUCGGAGGGAAGUCCGUAUUGGGAGCUGCUCGCCGAAUAGCGGAUCGGUUGUGUCCUUUCAGGAUUGAAUGGUGUAUAACUUGCUUCACUGUAGGUAUGAUGGAUUGCUUGGUUUCAGACAUCAAUUUAUGUGUGGCUGUCUAUUUUUAGCAUGGUGACUCGAGGUUUGUCAUGUGUAAUAAUGUUUGGAUAGGAUCGCGCGUUGUAGUGAGGCCACGCUAAGUUAUGGACUUUCAAGGAGGAUUCAGGUAUUCUAUUCCUAUGAUGUGAGACGGGGUCUCCGCAUUGUAUUGUGAUGGUACUGAUGAGCUUGAGAUAAACCUAUUUCGUUGAGUUAAUAUCAUGAUUUGAGUAUAUUAAAGUCGUUCCUUAUUGGUGCGCGUGUUAUGCAAGUGUGGCUUAGGCCGGUGAUGACGUAUCACCAGAAUGGUAUGUAGGAUUCGAGGUGAUCCCUUCGUAUUCAUUGCAGCUUGUUGGAAGGUUAAUAUCGAGGUUCGACUCGGAAAUCUGUUGUGAUAUUAGUCUAAAGGGAAGGGACUUCAUGAAUGGUUGAUCUGAGAGAUUUUUACAGUAUUGCGUGUUUCAUUAUUGUUGGAAGUGUAUGAAAGUGUUGGAAUAAGACCUUGGUUAAUAAUGAGGUUUUUCCACUGGUAUUCGGGUGUUGUGGGCAAAUGCUGUGAAUAGUAGCUACCGUUUCGAGUGUUGGAUUGUGUGGUUUGUUGCAUGGGUUCACCUGGGGUUGCAUGUAUGGUUAUUACAGCUGGUUCGGGCUUAUUCUGAGUCUAAAUGUGAGGUUCUGAUCUUGUGUAUGGUUUCGGAAGUGCAAUGUGGUUCUAGGGUUAUGGUCUAGAUGGACUGUGAAAUUUUAGCCGUGUUGUAUUAUCAGGCCUACGUGAGUUAGGGUGACAUGGGAUCACCCCGGGUAUAUGUUUGAUAAGGUCAUUCAGGUAUUGGUUGGCUCCUAGUACAACUCUGGGCACAUUCGAGGACGAGCUUUUGUUUAAGUUGGGGAGGGUGUAACGAUGACCCGUAUUCUCAUGUAUCUCCGCCCCGUUUUUCCCGUUUUAUGCUUCUAUAUAUUUCAUUAUAUGUGUUUGGUGAAUUUGAAGUAUUUCGGAUAGAGUUCGAUGAGAAAUGAGAUAAUUUGUCUCUUUUGAGAAGGUUAGUUUGGAAAGCCAAUUGAAUGUUGACUUAUAAGUUAGAGGUCUCAGAAUGGAUUUUUGAUCUGGAAAAGAGACAAUUAGUCUCUUUAAGAGAAUUAGUUUUAAAAAGUCAGCCGGAUAUUGACUUAUGUGGUAGAGAGCUCGAAAUGCAAAUUUUAUGAUUCGGAUAGCUUCGUAAGGUGAUUUGCGACUUAGGAGUGUGUUUGAAAUAUUUUUGUGAUGACCGGUGUAGAAUUAAGCUUUAAUCGACAAAGUUAGUAUUUUGGUGAAUUCUGGUUGAUACUUUAUAAUUUGAUCCGAGGGUCGAAAUGGAAUUCCGAGAGUUACUAUAGCUUCGUUAUGUCAUUUUGGACUUGUCUGCAAAAUUUGAGGUCAUUCGGACGUGAUUUGAUUGGGGUUUAAUAAAAUUUUUUUUUUGGAAGUUCUUGAUAUUCAUAGGCUUGAAUUCGAUGUGAUUUUACGAUUUUGCAGUUAGUCGAGGUAUUUUGGUGAUUGGAAUGAGGUUGAAUAAUGUUUUAGGAUGCGUUAGUGCUUUUGGUUGAGGUCCUCGGGGCCUCGGAUGUGUUUCGGGUGAGUUUUGAGCGAGUACCAACACCCCAUAACUUAGAAAAAUGGAGGGGGCAGCAGUGGAGGUGCGGACCGCUCUCCUUCUUGCACUGGGCGUGCGGCCGCGGUCACUGAAGGCUUGCAGGUCGUUGGUCCUAUUUCGGAAGCUCCUAUCUUUUGAUCUACAAGAAAUUUGGGGUUGAUUCUAAAACGAAAGGUGUAGAUCUUUGAAUCUAGUUUUCAGAUACAUUUUCUAACAGGCAUUUGGACAUCUGUAGAGAAAGUUACGGCCAAAAUAGUGAAGCCUAUCAUUGCAAUCAAAUUCCUGCGCGGCCGUGGUCAUUUUUGCUCGGAGCGCACUUCCUGGGCGCGGAUCGCGGUCAUUUUUGUGCGGUCAGCGCUGCCGGAAUCUGAGGGGUACUCUAUAAAUACGAAGGUUUUGGUUUUGCUUGAUUAUUUGACCUAUAGAGCUCGGAUUUUGGCGAUUUUUAGAAGGUUUUUCAAGAAAUUCAUCGGGGUAAGUGAUUCUAAGUCAGAUUUGGUUAGAGUACAUGAAUAUACCAUUGAAUUCAUCAUUUAAUUAGUUAUUUGAGAUGGAAUUUGGGAAGAACUAGGGCUUGAGUUUUGAUAUUUUAAAUUGAGGAAUUGAGGGGUGAUUUGAACUCUGAUUUUGCGAAAUUUUAUAUGUAUGUACUCAAGGAAAGACGAGGAAUUCAGUGAUGUGACUCUCGUAAUUUUUGGAAAAGUGGGCCUGGGGCUCGGGUUUUGCCUACUUCAUAAUUUUUAGUAUUUUUUGAGUAAUUUCGAUUGUGCUAUGUUUCUUCAGCAUAAUGUAACGUAUUCGUUGUGAUUUUGACUAGAUUCGACGCGCAAAGAGGUCGAUUCAAGAGGAAAAGGGCAUUGCAGGCUGGCCUACGGCCGGUUAGAG